rnacentral:lncRNA from 1 species
ACUUUUGUUGGAGCCUGAAUGCAAGAGCCAUUCUCACUGGGAUGCCACAGCUCUGGAGACUUCUUAUAGAUGUUGUUUGGAACACUCCAGGCUUGGAGAUGGGCCUUUAGACACUGCCUGUAGUACUGCUUAGCAACAGCUCUACAGACAUAAAGAGAUUGCAGUGGCUGCUCCUUCCUGGCUCCACCAUUCAGCAAGAGCUCCACAGAGGAUGAAGAGAUCCUCCUAGCUUGGCGGAAUACUCUGCUCUGAUGGAAGUACCAUCCUGGUCCAAACAUGAAAGAAUUCCCAACAUCAAGAUUGAUUGAAACAUAUUCAAUGGAUCAUUUGCUCCAGAAGAAGCUGGUUGCCAUGUCUUGAGGACAGUAAACCCUCUGGGGAGGUUCCUGUGGUAAGGAACAAGGGCUCCUGGCAAUAGCCUCUGAGUGAGCCACCUUGAAAAUGGAUUGUCCAGCCCCAGUCAAGCUUUCAGAUGACUGUAGCUCCUGCCAAUGUCUUCACCACAACCUCAUGAGAUCCCAAGCUACAACCACUCAGUUAAGUUAUGCCAAAAUUCCUGAUUCACAGAAAUUGACAUACAGGAGAGGUCACAGUUAAGAUCUUGAUGUUCUAUCUUGACCCAUAAUAUAGGAACUUCAUCUUUUGGGAAGCACCAGGGAGAGCUGCCUGUGCCUGGCAGAAGCUGCCCAUGCCCCACUGAUACCCCACAGUACUUCCUGUUCUGCUUAGUACUCCUGCUUCUUUCUACAAACAACUGUGAUUCUCUACCUGGGAGCUUCCUCUGGCCACAGGAGCCUGCUCACCUGAUUGGGACACCCUAGCAGUACUGGUGAUAGAUGCCUGCAUUGACUUUCUUCCCUGCUGUGCCUUUCUUUCCAUUCCCCUGCCAGUGCUUCCUGGAAUCAUCUCCCUCAUCAAUCAUUUGUUCCUAAAUUCUGUCUGAGUCUUUACCAAAAUCAUAGACUUACUGUAAAAUGAUUUUUCAAUUAGUAACUUUUCACCAUAACUUUUUUGGGGUAAUUUAUACCACUUUUUCGAUGACUCUUCUUGUUUAUGCUUUCACCUGAAAACAUACAAACUAAAUAUAAUCUAAAAAUAAUAUUUUUUAUUUUAGACAAGAACACACUCAGAAAUUUUCUCAACACAGUUUCUAUGCAGAGAAGAGAUGUGGGACAGAUUUGAACUGCUGUCAUAUUUGUAUGAACCCAAGACAUUUUCCAAGACCAAGAGGGAUAAAGACAGCAAUUUCUAUGACUGGCAUUUUACGUGCAUGCACUGUUUCCAAGUGUUCUUGUGUUCUGUGCCUUAAACAUUCUGUGUUGCAACUUUAUGAAUUGAAUUAAAGAUAAUCCCAAGCCCCCAAUUGUCUCAAAAAGUGAAAAAGUAAAUGUUAUAGAAAGAAAAGCGGGAAAAACUUUAAGCAUGAAAUAAAAGAUGGGUUGUGAUAAAAGAGGACUGAAGAAGGAAAAGGAAUGAAAGGUUCUGCCAUCCUUCAUGGCAGCCCACUCCACUUGGUAUGAGAUACUGCUCCCUUGGCUGAAAGUUAACUGCUGUACUCCCUCCACUUUCUAUAAAUGACUCCCUGUGCCUUUCCUUCACCACACAACUCACACUCUCUUCCUUCCUAGUGAGUCCACUAAGGCUUCACUGCAUUAUUACAUUUAUUUCAUUUAGGAAAAACUGACUUUAUUUUCCUUCAAAUUGUUUUUUAUUGUUUAUAUGAGCUUGGUUUUAUUGUCAUUCUAUUUUUCUCCAUGAAAAUAGAGAAAAAUAGGGUCGAAAGGUUAGGUUGGGUGGAAAGGAAUUAUAUUUUUUCUCACUAAAAUUGAUGUAAAUAUCGUUUUCAAUUGAAUGAUUUUACACAGUGGCACAGUUUCAGGUAUGUUGCUAAGCAGGAAAGUUGUUAACCAAAGCAUGAAUGUAUUAAGGAGAUGUAUGCAGAAUGACAUGCAAGGUUAUCUAUGAUUGCUGAGUGAGAAAGAGCAAGUUGCUGAGUAUUAUAUAAGUAUGAUCUCACUUUUGUAAAAAAAAAAAAAAAAAAAGGCCUGGACUGAUCUGAAAUGACCCUAUUAAUAACAAUUAUGUCCAGGUCUGUAUUGCAUACUUGUCAUUCAUUACAGGAUCUUGAGACACAAUGCAAAGGAUCACAUCGCAGCUCUGUAACUUGUUAACUAUAAGAUUUUGAGUAACAUAACACCUUACUCCUUAAAAUUGCUUAAAAAAAAUCUGAACAUCAGGAAUAUUCUACUUCACAGGGUCGUUGUGAUAAUUAAAUGUAGUAAUCAAUGACAAUAGUGCCAGAUACAGUAGAUAGCCUACACUUUGCAGCUACUAUUUCUAUCUAUCAUCCAUCUAUUAAUAUAUAUCAUCUAUCUUUAACUUAUCAUCUAUCUUGUUCCAGUUUUUUAAAAUGAACAUGUAUUAACUUUGUAAAAAAUUAAGGCUAUAAGAUGUGCUGAGCUUUUGGAAUAGAUUUUCCUGUACUAUAUAUGACUGCCAGUGGGAGAAUUUGAAUAAAUGUGUAAAUUUGACUA